rnacentral:rRNA from 1 species
AUGCACGCUGGCGGCGUGCCUAAUACAUGCAAGUCGAGCGAACGGACGAGAAGCUUGCUUUUCUGAUGUUAGCGGCGGACGGGUGAGUAACACGUGGAUAACCUACCUAUAAGACUGGGAUAACUUCGGGAAACCGGAGCUAAUACCGGAUAAUAUUUUGAACCGCAUGGUUCCAAAGUGAAAGACGGUCUUGCUGUCACUUAUAGAUGGAUCCGCGCUGCAUUAGCUAGUUGGUAAGGUAACGGCUUACCAAGGCAACGAUGCAUAGCCGACCUGAGAGGGUGAUCGGCCACACUGGAACUGAGACACGGUCCAGACUCCUACGGGAGGCAGCAGUAGGGAAUCUUCCGCAAUGGGCGAAAGCCUGACGGAGCAACGCCGCGUGAGUGAUGAAGGUCUUCGGAUCGUAAAACUCUGUUAUUAGGGAAGAACAUAUGUGUAAGUAACUGUGCACAUCUUGACGGUACCUAAUCAGAAAGCCACGGCUAACUACGUG